rnacentral:lncRNA from 1 species
UCCCGUUCGUCUUCUUCAUGGACUCGUUCUUCUUCCUUGCGGGAUUUCAGGCAAGAUGACCGCUACCCUGGAUCUCACUACUAUCAUUGCUAUGCUAGUUGCUUCGUUCUAUCGCUAUGCUGCGUUACCUAACUUUUGUUCAUCAAGCCUCCUAAAUUUCCAUGAACCUCUAACCUUUGACACCAUUCCUAGCAAACCAUUGAUAGGCUAUGUUACCGCUUUGCUCAGCCCCUCUUAUAGCGUUGCUAGUUGCAGGUGAAGUUGAAGAUUGCUCCAUGGUGGACAGGAUUUAUGUUGGGAUAUCACAAUAUCUCUUAUAUUAUUAAUGCAUCUAUAUAUUUGGUAAAGGGUGGAAGGCUUGGCCUUAUGCCUGGUGUUUUGUUCCACUCUUGCCGCCCUAGUUUCUGUCAUACCGGUGUUAUGUUCCCGGAUUUUGCGUUCAUAACGUGGUCGGGUGAUUUGUGGGACCCCCUGACAGUUCGCUUUGAAUAAAACUCCUCCAGCAAGGCCCAACAUUGGUUUUACCAUUUGCCUCACCUAUUACCUUUUUCCCUUAGGAGUCGCGCAUCCCAAGGGUCAUCUUUAUUUUAGCCCCCCCGGGCCAAUGCUUGUCUAAGUGUUGGUCCAAACUAGAGCCACUUGCAGCGCCACCUUGGGGAAACUUGAGGGCUGGUUCUAGUUGUACGUAGUGCUCAUCCGGUCGUGGCCUGAGACGAGAUACGCGCGGCUACUAUCAGGAUGUCGGCACACUGGGAGGUUUUGCUGGUCUUGUUUUACCAUUGUCGAAAUGUCUUGUAAACCGGGAUUCCGAGACUGAUCGGGUCUUCCUGGGAGAAGGUCUAUUCCUUCGUUGAUCGCAAGAGCUUGUCAUGGGCUAAGUUGGGACACCCCUGCAGCGUAUAAACUUUCGAGAGCCGUGCCCGCGGUUAUGUGGCAGAUGGGAAUUUGUUAAUGUCCGGUUGUAGAUAACUUGACACUUGAUCCGAAUUAAAACGCAUCAACCGUGUGUGUAGCCGUGAUGGUCUCUUUUCGGUGGAGUCCGGGAAGUGAACACGGUUUCUGGGUUAUGUUUGACGUAAGUAGGAGUUCAGGAUCACCUCUUGAUCAUUGCUAGUUGACGACCGUUCCUUUGUUUCUCUUCUCGCUCUCAUUUGCGUAUGUUAGCCACCAUAUAUGCUUAGCCGCUGCUGCAACCUCACCACUUUACCCCUUCCUUUCCCAUUAAGCUUUGCUAGUCUUGAUACCCAUGGUAAUGGGAUUGCUGAGUCCUCGUGGCUCACCAGAUACUUCCAAAACCAGUUUGCAGGUGCCUAUGUUACCGAGCAGGUGACGCAACCAAGCUCAAGGAGGAGCUCGAUGAAGAUCUUGCCCUUUGUGUUGUUUCGUUCUAGUUGAUUAGUAGUGGAGUCCAGUUGGGGUCGAUCGGGGACCUUUGUCGCAUUUGGGGUUCUUCUUUUAUUUUGGUUCCGUAGUCGGACCUUGAUUGUAUCUGGAUGAUGUAAUGCUUUAUUCAUGUAAUUGUGUGAAGUGGCGAUUGUAAGCCAACUAUGUAUCUCUUUCCCUUAUGUAUUACAUGGGUUGUG